CAAUAGCGUAUAUUAAAGUUGUUGCAGUUAAAAAGCUCGUAGUUGGAUUUGUGGCGUACGGUGUGUUCCGGGCACUUGUUGUCUGAGUAACCUGCUGUUGCCAUCCUUGGGUGGAACCUGUGUGGCAUUAGGUUGUCGUGCAGGGGAUGCCCAUCACUUACUGUGAAAAAAUUAGAGUGUUCAAAGCAGGCUUAUGCCGUUGAAUAUAUUAGCAUGGAAUAAUGAGAUAGGACUUUUUUGCUAUUUUGUUGGUUUGCGCAAGAAGAUAAUGAUUAAUAGGGACAGUUGGGGGUAUUCGUAUUCCAUUGUCAGAGGUGAAAUUCUUGGAUUUUUGGAAGACGAACUACUGCGAAAGCAUUUACCAAGGAUGUUUUCAUUAA
rnacentral:rRNA from 1 species